rnacentral:rRNA from 1 species
AUUGAACGCUGGCGGCAGGCCUAACACAUGCAAGUCGAGCGGCAGCGGGAAAGUAGCUUGCUACUUUUGCCGGCGAGCGGCGGACGGGUGAGUAAUGCCUGGGAAAUUGCCCAGUCGAGGGGGAUAACAGUUGGAAACGACUGCUAAUACCGCAUACGCCCUACGGGGGAAAGCAGGGGACCUUCGGGCCUUGCGCGAUUGGAUAUGCCCAGGUGGGAUUAGCUAGUUGGUGAGGUAAUGGCUCACCAAGGCGACGAUCCCUAGCUGGUCUGAGAGGAUGAUCAGCCACACUGGAACUGGGACACGGUCCAGACUCCUACGGGAGGCAGCAGUGGGGAAUAUUGCACAAUGGGGGAAACCCUGAUGCAGCCAUGCCGCGUGUGUGAAGAAGGCCUUCGGGUUGUAAAGCACUUUCAGCGAGGAGGAAAGGUUGAUGCCUAAUACGUAUCAACUGUGACGUUACUCGCAGAAGAAGCACCGGCCAACUCCGUGCCAGCAGCCGCCGUAAAAC